rnacentral:rRNA from 1 species
AACGAACGCUGGCGGCAUGCCUAACACAUGCAAGUCGAACGAGACCUUCGGGUCUAGUGGCGCACGGGUGCGUAACGCGUGGGAACCUGCCCUUAGGUUCGGAAUAACUCCCCGAAAGGGGUGCUAAUACCGGAUAAUGUCUUCGGACCAAAGAUUUAUCGCCUUUGGAUGGGCCCGCGUUGGAUUAGCUAGUUGGUAGGGUAAAAGCCUGCCAAGGCGACGAUCCAUAGCUGGUCUGAGAGGAUGAUCAGCCACACUGGGACUGAGACACGGCCCAGACUCCUACGGGAGGCAGCAGUGGGGAAUAUUGGGCAAUGGGCGAAAGCCUGAUCCAGCAAUGCCGCGUGAGUGAUGAAGGCCUUAGGGUUGUAAAGCUCUUUUACCCGGGAUGAUAAUGACAGUACCGGGAGAAUAAGCUCCGGCUAACUCCGUG